UACGUAGGGCGCAAGCGUUGUCCGGAAUUAUUGGGCGUAAAGAGCUCGUAGGCGGUUUGUCGCGUCUGCUGUGAAAACCUGAGGCUCAACCUCGGGCUUGCAGUGGGUACGGGCAGACUAGAGUGCGGUAGGGGUGACUGGAAUUCCUGGUGUAGCGGUGGAAUGCGCAGAUAUCAGGAGGAACACCGAUGGCGAAGGCAGGUCACUGGGCCGCAACUGACGCUAAGGCGCGAAAGCGUGGGGAGCGAACAGG
rnacentral:rRNA from 1 species